rnacentral:piRNA from 1 species
GGAAGGUGCUUGUUGACUGCUGAUAAUAC